GAUCCUGGCUCAGGAUGAACGCUGGCGGCGUGCCUAACACAUGCAAGUCGAACGAAGCACUUAUCUUAGAUUCUUCGGAUGAAGAGAUAUUUGACUGAGUGGCGGACGGGUGAGUAACGCGUGGGUAACCUGCCUCAUACAGGGGGAUAACAGUUAGAAAUGACUGCUAAUACCGCAUAAGCGCGCGGAAUCGCAUGAUUCAGUGUGAAAAGCCGAGACGGU
rnacentral:rRNA from 1 species